rnacentral:rRNA from 1 species
GACGAACGCUGGCGGCGUGCCUAAUACAUGCAAGUAGAACGCUGAAGGAGGAGCUUGCUUCUCUGGAUGAGUUGCGAACGGGUGAGUAACGCGUAGGUAACCUGCCUGGUAGCGGGGGAUAACUAUUGGAAACGAUAGCUAAUACCGCAUAAUAGUAGAUGUUGCAUGACAUUUGCUUAAAAGGUGCAAUUGCAUCACUACCAGAUGGACCUGCGUUGUAUUAGCUAGUUGGUGGGGUAACGGCUCACCAAGGCGACGAUACAUAGCCGACCUGAGAGGGGGAGCGGCCACACGUGGACUGAGACAAGGCCCAGACUGCUACGGGAGGCAGCAGUAGGGAAUCUUCGGAAAUGGACGGAAGUCUGACCGAGCAACGCCGCGGGAGUGAAGAAGGUUUUCGGAUCGUAAAGCUCUGUUGUAAGAGAAGAACGAGUGUGAGAGUGGAAAGUUCACACUGUGACGGUAUCUUACCAGAAAGGGACGGCUAACUACGUG